rnacentral:rRNA from 1 species
GGAGAUUGGGGUGAAGCGUAACAAGGUAGCUGUAGGUGAACCUGCAGAAGGAUCA